CUGGCAGUCCCACUGGCUCUGAAGCAGUCCUCAGCCCUGCCCCGGAGCAGCAGCCCAAGUGUGAGGCUCACGGGGGAGGUGCACCCAGAGCCGAACACCGGUGCAAUGAUGGUCCGCGGGUCCUACCCUCCCUCGAAGAUGCCUGCUGUGACACAAUGUUGGGUCCUGCCACCAAAGACCCAAGUGGGACUUCUCUGACUACCCCAGGAGCCAGAAACCAACACAC